AUUGAACGCUGGCGGCAGGCCUAACACAUGCAAGUCGAGCGGAUGAAGGGAGCUUGCUCCUGGAUUCAGCGGCGGACGGGUGAGUAAUGCCUAGGAAUCUGCCUGGUAGUGGGGGAUAACGUCCGGAAACGGGCGCUAAUACCGCAUACGUCCUGAGGGAGAAAGUGGGGGAUCUUCGGACCUCGCGCUAUCAGAUGAGCCUAGGUCGGAUUAGCUAGUUGGUGGGGUAAAGGCCUACCAAGGCGACGAUCCGUAACUGGUCUGAGAGGAUGAUCAGUCACACUGGAACUGAGACACGGUCCAGACUCCUACGGGAGGCAGCAGUGGGGAAUAUUGGACAAUGGGCGAAAGCCUGAUGCAGCAAUGCCGCGUGUGUGAAGAAGGUCUUCGGAUUGUAAAGCACUUUAAGUUGGGAGGAAGGGCAGUAAGUUAAUACCUGGCUGUUUUGACGUUACCAAAAGAAUAAGCACCGGCUAACUUCGUG
rnacentral:rRNA from 1 species